rnacentral:rRNA from 1 species
AAUCAACGCUGGCGGCGUGCCUAACACAUGCAAGUCGAGCGAGAAAAGGGGGGCAACUCCCUGAGUACAGCGGCGCACGGGUGAGUAACACGUGGGUAAUCUGCCCUGAAGUGGGGAAUAACACCGGGAAACCGGUGCUAAUAACGCAUAUGAUCACGAUGUCUGCGGACGUAGUGAUGAAAGGAGCAAUUCGCAUCAGGAGGAGCCCGCGGCUGAUUAGCUAGUUGGGGAGGUAAUGGCUCACCAAGGCAACGAUCAGUAUCCGGUCUGAGAGGACGGUCGGACACACUGGAACUGAGACACGGUCCAGACUCCUACGGGAGGCAGCAGUGGGGAAUUUUUCGCAAUGGGGGAAACCCUGACGAAGCAACGCCGCGUGGGUGAUGAAGUCUCUUGGGACGUAAAACCCUUUCGACAGGGAAGAAACCGCAAGGUUGACGGUACCUGUAGAAGAAGCCCCGGCUAACUCCGUGCCAGCAGCCGCAGUAAAAC